GUUAACAGAUGAUGAUGAUGAUGAUGAUGAUGAUGAUCAUGGUCAUGAUCAUCAUGAUCAUCAUCAUCAUCAUCAUCAUCAACAACA
rnacentral:pre_miRNA from 1 species